CCUGAGAUAAGAUUGGCUGGGAUGUCUCAUACCUUUUGUCUUAAAGAUUUAAGAAUAUUGAGUGGAACCUCAUUAAGAGUGACCGUGAUCCAAAAAUCAGAAGGGUAAUUUCAAGAGAAGGAAGAACUCACGGCAUAAAUUCCAAAACCUACACAUUAAAUAACAAGAGCUGCUUUAGGAUAGCAUGGACACCACCUUUGGCAGGAAAUAGGAAAUUAAAUUAGAGGUGGAAGUUUAAAUUGUAAGUGCAUUUG
rnacentral:lncRNA from 1 species